UGGGGAAUAUUGGACAAUGGGCGCAAGCCUGAUCCAGCCAUGCCGCGUGUGUGAAGAAGGCCUUCGGGUUGUAAAGCACUUUUGUCCGGAAAGAAAUCCUGUCGGCUAAUACCCGGCGGGGAUGACGGUACCGGAAGAAUAAGCACCGGCUAACUUCGUGCCAGCAGCCGCGGUAAUACGAAGGGUGCAAGCGUUACUCGGAAUUACUGGGCGUAAAGCGUGCGUAGGUGGUUUGUUAAGUCUGAUGUGAAAGCCCUGGGCUCAACCUGGGAACUGCAUUGGAUACUGGCUUACUAGAGUGCGGUAGAGGGUGGCGGAAUUCCCGGUGUAGCAGUGAAAUGCGUAGAUAUCGGGAGGAACAUCCGUGGCGAAGGCGGCCACCUGGACCAGCACUGACACUGAGGCACGAAAGCGUGGGGAGCAAACAGGAUUAGAUACCCUGGUAGUCCACGCCCUAAACGAUGCGAACUGGAUGUUGGGAGCAACUAGGCUCUCAGUAUCGAAGCUAACGCGUUAAGUUCGCCGCCUGGGAAGUACGGUCGCAAGACUGAAACUCAAAUGAAUUGACGGGGUCAUAGCUGUUUCC
rnacentral:rRNA from 1 species